CAGCAGCCGCGGUAAUACGUAGGGUGCGAGCGUUAAUCGGAAUUACUGGGCGUAAAGCGUGCGCAGGCGGUUAUAUAAGACAGUUGUGAAAUCCCCGGGCUCAACCUGGGAGCUGCAUCUGUGACUGUAUAGCUAGAGUACGGUAGAGGGGGAUGGAAUUCCGCGUGUAGCAGUGAAGUGCGUAGAUAUGCGGAGGAGCACCGAUGGCGAAGGCAAUCCCCUGGACCUGUACUGACGCUCAUGCACGAAAGCGUGGGGAGCAAACAGGAUUAGAUACCCGGGUAGUCCCUGUCUCUUAUAC
rnacentral:rRNA from 1 species